CUCGACGUCGCAAUGACGCAAUACCGUCAAACGUCAGAGUCUAAAUCCUAUAAAAGAAAAAGUUUCAGAUUCAAGUGGAACGCUGAGAAAUGUAAGAAAUCCGCAGAUGGAAACCAGGGGUUAACGAGAGCAAAGUGAACAUCCAAGAGCAGAAGGUCCUUGUUCUACGUCUGCCUGCUUAGCGGUUGUGUGAUCCGUAAAGAAUGGACCGCCAGAUUUGCGUCUUCUUUCUGGUCCUGCUAUCAACCCUAUCUCAUUUGGUUUCUGCCGAAGAGCUCACCCAAGAACCUCACCAGAUUGACCUUGGCAACAUUCUGGCCAUUAUUGUGCUCUUGGUCAUGGGGAUAUUAGGGGGUUUGGCAUGCUUAGGGUCCUAUGCCAGGAAUCACUUGACAAAUUCAUAUUAGCCUUGCAUUUCUCUGCCUUUAACUCAUUGCUACUGGGUAUAACAUGUACAUCAUGUCCACUGUGAUUUUACUUAUUUAAUGUGUUUACACAAACAUGGCUCCACAAGAGCUUUGUCACCAAAAGGUCAAUUACUAGUCCUCUGUAUCUCACCUGUUUUCUCUUUCUUAUUGGUAUUAUUAUUUUAAUGACUUUAUAAUUAUCAUAAUACCAGAAAUAAUGUUUACAAUUUUGAUAUUGAUAACACUAGAAAAAUAAUUUCCUAAAUAUUCAAGGAAUGUGGAAAUCAGUGGACAGCAAGUACCUGCUGCCAGUGGAUUAAUCUUUGGUUUAUUCAGUGUGCGAGAAUGGUCUGGUUGACUGCCGGGGUCCUGAAUACUGCUUUUGUAGGAUGAUGAUGGAUGGUAGAAAAUACUGGAUUUUCAGGCAGUGGAUAAGCUUUGUGGAUGUUCAUCAUACUUUCAUACUAUUGCUGUUAAGUAUUUUUUAAAUUAACCUCUUGAAUUUAAUGUUUUAAAUUAGUUCUGAAUUUUCCUAGUAUUUAUUCUUCUGAAUGAAAUUAUCAAUGUGUGAGAAUGAGCUUUAAAUCCACUCUUAUAUUUGAUAAGUUCUGGUAAAGAAUACAGCAUCCCCCAGUUUAUCUUAACUAUGUUCUCUGUUGUUUUGUAUAUCUUAUAGUUCUUCCAGUGUUUUCAUCUAUAUUGAUCCAAGUCUAGUCUUAGUAGUUAUGGAGAUGUAUCAUGUUCCUGAAAUUUUAUAGAAUUUGUUUAUAGUUUUUGUGAAUGUUAUUUUCUGUUAGUAUCAUUAUUUGAAGCAUGAAAGACCAGUGUUUUAUGUCUAUUAAAAGUGUGAUCUUAAUAAUGCUUGUAAACCUGGCUAAGAGUUUUCCAAAGAAUACACAAUUCCUUUGAAUUUUGUCUCUUCUAGAUUGAAUUACACACGGUGAUCUAUAAACUAUGGAGUUAUAGAUUUGUGAUAUAUUAUCUUUUUUACAAUUUAUAAUAAAAUUUUCAGUAGCUUAAUGCUACUUCUCUUGAAUA
rnacentral:misc_RNA from 1 species